AACACAGAAUGGAGACUUUUGGGAAUGAGAAGUAAAGAAGACGAAAUUAUUUUGUAGAAAAUGUAAUAAACUGUUGUAGAAUAUUACAUGACAUGAUACAUACAAUAGAAUAGAGGAUGAUAUCUUAGAAGCCUAAAUCUUAAUACUUAAGAGUGAUGUGAUAUCAUAUCCUAGUAGUGUUCUUGGCCCAGCAACCACAACCAUCCAAAGAGAAAAAAUCAAAGAUAUAGAAAAGUCAAAAGCCACCAUUUCCAAGCCAACCAUUACCAUUCAAUUAACAUGGAAAAAAAAAAGAAAAAAACCCUCAAAAAUCAAACCCACCAGCAUCAUCAAAUCCUGAAGCAUCAGACACCAUAUCUCCAAUCAAAAGCCCACCAAUAGCUCCUCCUAGCAAUCCAGCCCCGAGGCCCAUCCCAAAUUUAUUCUUCUUUUGCGGCUGCUGCCCUUGCACUGGCGGUGGGUACCCAUACCCCCCUUGAACAGGUGGUGGGUACCCAUACCCCCCUUGAGCAGGUGGAUAUCCAUAUCCAGGUGGCGGCGGUGGGUAUCCAUAACCUGGUGGUGGAGGCGGUGGGUAUCCGCCAUAUGGUGGUGGAGGUGGAUAUCCAUAUCCAGGUGGGGGUGGUGGAUAUGAGCCAGGUCCACCAUAAGGAACAGAGGUAGGCCCCGCAGGAUAUGCAGCGACAGGUUGACUGUUGGAAUUAGUUACCUUCGCUGCUGAUGAUGAUGCUUCAGGAGCUUCAGGAACCACUACUUUCUCAAUCUCACCGAACUUAAAAGAAAAGUUAAUCUCACCUUUAGGUUUCCCUGAUGGUUUCCUUACCUGAUAGCUAACAAACUUCAUGGAUUUACCAUCGCCAGCUGAAUCCAAAAGCUCCUUUAUUGGCACGUUGACUUCACCAAUAUCUUUAUCCCCUAAAGCACGCUCACAUUUAAGCUUGCAAACAAGACUCAGACGGUUUUCUGCAAGUGAGGUUUCAGGGAUAGUGAAUUUUAUAGGGAAGUUCCAAGUGGGGUUUUUUCCACCAGCUCUAUCUACUGGGGUUUUGUUUUUUUGCUUGGGUUUUUGUUUUGAGUCAACACCAGAGAUUGAAACAACAGCAUACACAUCCAUUUUGGAGAUAUAAUUGACAUCGUUGAGAUCUCUUGCAGAGAUGACAUUGAUCUCUAAGGUUCUUUGAUCCAUGGAUAUAGAGAGAGAGGAGGAGGAGGAGGAGGCGGAGGAGAGAGAGAGUUUGGUGUGAGUUACGAUGGCAAUUUGCAAGUAACUUGGCAACCUCCGCUGAUGGGUUUGCAUACAAAUUUUGAGUGCAAAAGACGGCCCGAUGUGGUCAACUCUCGGGGUUUGUGGGUUGAGAGUAACCAUGGUUAGAUGUAGAUGGAAAGUUGAUCUAAUAAAUUAUUAACCAUAGUUAAUGACUUUGUAUUUUGUAAGGUUAUAUCGUGAAAUACGAUUAGAUCGUUGUUU
rnacentral:lncRNA from 1 species